rnacentral:rRNA from 1 species
CCUACUGGAGGCAGCAGUGGGGAAUAUUGGGCAAUGGAGGAAACUCUGACCCAGCGACGCCGCGUGCGGGAUGAAGGCCUUCGGGUUGUAAACCGCUUUCAGCAGGGAAGAAGCGAAAGUGACGGUACCUGCAGAAGAAGCACCGGCUAACUAUGUGCCAGCAGCCGCGGUAAUACAUAGGGUGCAAGCGUUGUCCGGAAUUAUUGGGCGUAAAGAGCUCGUAGGUGGUUCGUCACGUCGGAUGUGAAAAUCUGGGGCUUAACCCCAGACCUGCAUUCGAUACGGGCGAGCUUGAGUAUGGUAGGGGAGUCUGGAAUUCCUGGUGUAGCGGUGGAAUGCGCAGAUAUCAGGAGGAACACCAAUGGCGAAGGCCGGACUCUGGGCCAUUACUGACACUGAGGAGCGAAAGCGUGGGGAGCGAACAGGAUUAGAUACCCUGGUAGUCCACGCCGUAAACGGUGGGCACUAGUUGUGGGGACCUUCCACGGUCUCUGCGACGCNGCUACGCAUAAGUGCCCGCCGUCGGGAGGUACGAGCGCGAGAAGUUAAACUAACUUAAAUUAGUAAGUUAGUUACGGCGUUGAGACGUGCCGACGGACGACGACGAGGGGAGGUUAGG